ensembl:snoRNA
AGUCUUUGUGUUGUGCAUUUACUUUUGGAAACUAGUGAAUGUGAUAUCAAAAAAGGCGGAAACUAAACUCUUUGCAGCCUUUUCCUGUCCUUGAUUUGGGUAUUGUUGGUGUGGGAGCUGCGUAAGUAACAGUU